GAGAGCCCUAUGCGAGGAAAUCUUGCACGUACGGUUCGGAGGGAGGCCACCCAAGCAUGAGAAAUGUUUUUUCCCCUUCGCACCCCCAU
rnacentral:ncRNA from 1 species